AUUGAACGCUGGCGGCAUGCCUUACACAUGCAAGUCGAACGGCAGCACGGGUGCUUGCACCUGGUGGCGAGUGGCGAACGGGUGAGAAAUACAUCGGAACAUGUCCUGUAGUGGGGGAUAGCCCGGCGAAAGCCGGAUUAAUACCGCAUACGAUCUACGGAUGAAAGCGGGGGACCUUCGGGCCUCGCGCUAUAGGGUUGGCCGAUGGCUGAUUAGCUAGUUGGUGGGGUAAAGGCCUACCAAGGCGACGAUCAGUAGCUGGUCUGAGAGGACGACCAGCCACACUGGGACUGAGACACGGCCCAGACUCCUACGGGAGGCAGCAGUGGGGAAUUUUGGACAAUGGGCGAAAGCCUGAUCCAGCAAUGCCGCGUGUGUGAAGAAGGCCUUCGGGUUGUAAAGCACUUUUGUCCGGAAAGAAAUCCUUGGCCCUAAUACGGUCGGGGGAUGACGGUACCGGAAGAAUAAGCACCGGCUAACUACGUG
rnacentral:rRNA from 1 species